AGCGAACGCUGGCGGCAGGCUUAACACAUGCAAGUCGAACGCAUCACUUCGGUGGUGAGUGGCAGACGGGUGCGUAACACGUGGGAACGUACCCUUCGAUCUGGGAUAACUUCGGGAAACUGGAGCUAAUACCGGAUACGCCCUUUUGGGGAAAGGUUUACUGUCGAAGGAUCGGCCCGCGUCUGAUUAGCUAGUUGGUGGGGUAACGGCCUACCAAGGCGACGAUCAGUAGCUGGUCUGAGAGGAUGAUCAGCCACACUGGGACUGAGACACGGCCCAGACUCCUACGGGAGGCAGCAGUGGGGAAUAUUGGAAAAUGGGCGCAAGGAUGAUGCAGCCAUGACGCGUGAGUGAUGAAGGUAUUAGGGUUGUAAAGCUCUUUUGUCCGGGACGAUAAUGACGGUACCGGAAGAAUAAGCCCCGGCUAACUUCGUG
rnacentral:rRNA from 1 species